ACGAAGAGUUUGAUCCUGGCUCAGAGUGAACGCUAGCGGUGCGCCUAACACAUGCAAGUCGACUGCAUUCAGUUGCAGGGCGAACGGCUGAGUAACACGUUGGAACCCACCCCGAACUCAGGGAUAACCUCGCGAAAGCGGGGCUAAUACCGGAUGGUCCCCGCACCUUUUUGUCUUUUGGUUCUGUUCCUACAAUAGGAGCGGAUCCUUUCAGAAGGUAAAAAGGUGCGGGGUAAAGCUUUUGCGGUUUGGGAGGGGCCUGCGGCCUAUCAGCUUGUUGGUAAGGUAACGGCUUACCAAGGCUAUGACGGGUAGCUGAUCUGAGAGGAUGAUCAGCCAGAAUGGGACUGAGACACGGCCCAUACUCCUACGGGAGGCAGCAGUGAGGAAUCUUCCGCAAUGGGCGAAAGCCUGACGGAGCGACACCGCGUGGUGGAUGACACCCUAUCCGGGCGUAAACACCUGUUCUGAGGGACGAAAUUUUUGACGGUACCUCAGGAGAAAGCACCGGCUAAUUCCGUGCCAGCAGCCGCGGUAAGACGGAAGGUGCAAGCGUUACUCGGAAUUACUGGGCGUAAAGCGUCCGCAGCCGAUCCCGUUAGUCUGGCGUUAAAGCACGGAGCCCAACUCCGUGUCCGUGCCGGAAACUGCGGGGAUAGAGUCAUGCAGGGGCAUCUGGAAUACCGUGUGUAGGGGUAAAAUCCGUUGAUCCACGGUAGAACGCCAAAAGCGAAGGCAGGAUGCUGGGCAUGUACUGACGGUCAGGGACGAAAGCGUGGGGAGCGAACGGGAUUAGAUACCCCGGUAGUCCACGCCCUAAACGAUGCGUGCUCGGUGUUGGGAUUUUCAAUUGAUCUCAGUGCCUUAGCUAACGCGGUAAGCACGCCGCCUGGGAAGUACGGCCGCAAGGCUAAAACUCAAAGGAAUAGACGGGGACCCACACAAGCGGUGGAGCAUGGGGUUUAAUUCGAUGAUAAGCGGAGCACCUCACCCAGGUUUGACAUCCCGAGAAUCCCGCGGAAACGUGGGAGUGCCGCAAGGAACUCGGUGACAGGUGGUGCACGGUCGUCGUCAGCUCGUGCCUUGAGGUGUACUGUUAAGUCAGCAAACGAGCGCAACCCUCAUCCUAUGUUGUUUUUUCAUAGGAGACUGCCGCCUCCAAGGCGGAGGAAGGUGGGGAUGACGU
rnacentral:rRNA from 1 species